rnacentral:snoRNA from 1 species
AUAUAUGAUGAUACCCAAUAACAACAACAACAUGAAUUUCUUCGUCCGAAUCCUUUAUAGGUGGAAACAAACUUUUGACAAUAGCUUUUUAACACUGAUC